rnacentral:miRNA from 1 species
UUGCAAGUGCUAGAGUGUGUGCACUUAUGUGUGCAUGUAUGUGUGUUUGUGCAUGCAUGCCCCUUUCCAGCAAACCUUCACAGCCUUCACAGGCCUGCUCACAC